CCGCAUACUUACCCCACGGUCUUCUCCUGACGCCUCUGUAAUGCCUCAGGUCAUCCUCUUGAGCCACUGGUGCAGGAACUGCUAUAGUGGCAAGAGGUGGCUUGCGUUGGCUUAGAGUUGAAGUGGUGCAGUGGUGGAUGGUGGAGACAAAGGUGUCUAAGGAAGGGAAAUCGGUAAGAAGGUGUUGGGUUAUGAGAUUCAAAGCUGAUUGGUCUUGUUCUAGUUGAUGUGAAGAAGCCAUAGAUGAUACUGGAGCCUUUUUCUAUCUGAUUGUUGUUUUGAUUGUGGGUUUUGGUUUUUGAGAUUGGAGGGUUAUAUAAAAAUGGAAAGUGAGAGGUUUUUGAGAUUAGCUUCUUUGGUUGGAGAGAGGAAGGAUCCUUUUCAAUUAUUUUGACUUGUUUUCUACUGUUGUUUUGGAGUGUGGCAAGUGGACUUUAAAUAUUAGUAUAAGUUUAAGACAAGAAAGGAGGGAUUUUGUGGAUUUGUCUCUAUUUCCAGGCUUCUUCAUAUCCGAGACACAUUUUAAAAAUGGUUUUUAUUACAGAAAUUUGAAACAAAAAUUGACACUUUUUAAAAAUUUUAUGGGUACAAGUUUAUGUCUGCUUGCCUGUUUUAGACAAUUUCUCGACGGUGUAGGAUUCUCGUUUUUGGUUCACUGUGGAUUAUAUGAUUAGGUGGUUGGAAUUUCUCUUUUGGCCGCACUGUUUCUAUCUUUUUGAAAAUAAUUGGGUUACUUGAUUUAUGUUUCUUUCACGGCUAAGCGAUGAAGUUUUUCCUUCUGGUUGUUUCCUUUGAUUUGGUGACUUGAAAUAGUUAAGGUAAUCUUGUCAUGUUGUAAGAUGUAAAAAUGUUACGAGUUACGACCUUAGCAUCAAGUACAUCUGGAAGCAGAAGUCUCGUGGAGUGGGUAACAAAGGAAUGUCUUAGGUUUGUUUCAACAUACUGAAUUCUCUGUGUCUACUUUGUAACCUCAUGAAAGUUUUUGUCUAUGGUGAAAUUUAUAGGGUUGAAGAAAAGUACAUAUGUUUGUGGGUGUCUGCACUAUUAUAUUAGACAGCGACCAAAGUCUUGGAGGCAAUCGUUUUGCUUGAAGGGCUCAUUAGUAGGUCUUGUAAGUUCAAACUUCUUCUUUGUGCUCGUUUAAGGAAGGGUAGAAAGAAUUGCAUUUAAGAUGAAUCAAUGAAUAUAGGGAAACAAUUUUUACAAUCAGCUAAUCUAGAAGCUUUCAACACAAUCCAAAGUUGCUAAUGUCACCUAAUGUUGGAAUGUUCCCAGUUUGACUCUCAGAAGCUUACAUAACCACGAGGUGGGAGUGUCCAAGAGAUAGAUAAGGAGAUAAUGGAGGCACGGAGAAUAUCCCCAUCUCUUUACUGUCUGCUCCGUCCCAAAACCCCAUCCAACUUGACGGCGUUAAUGGACAAGCAUCAGUCUGAGCCUGAGCCUGAGCCUGAGCCUGAGUUUCUUCCCUCUUCACAGCUUUAUGGCUGCUUAGGUGGCUUACAUCCUCCGUUACUUGUCUUUUCCUCUUUGCUUUCAAAGACACAGUCUUGUUAUUGUCUCCUAAGUCCUCGUGCUUUCCUGCUUCGAGUGGAAAGUUAAGAAUGGCUUUGCUUCCACGUAGUUUAAAAGCAGCCUUGUCAUAACCCCUUGCAGCUUCCAUGGCUGUGUCAAAAGUCCCUAACCAGACACGAACACCUUUCCUGUUUGGGUCUCUGAUCUCAGCCGCAUACUUGCCCCAAGGUCUUCGCCUCACGCCUCUGUAAUGCCUUUGAUCAUCCUCUUGAGCCACUGGUCCAGUAGUAGGAACUGCUAUAGUGGCAAGAGGUGGCUUGCGUUGGCUUAGAGUUGAGGUGGUGCAGUGGUGGAUGGUGGAGACAAAGGUCUCUAAGGAAGGGAAAUCGGUAAGAAGGUGUUGGGUUAUGAGAUCUAAAGCUGAUUGGUCUUGUUCUUGUUGUUGUUGAUUUGAAGAAGCCAUAGAUGAAUGAUAUAGGAGUCUUCUUCGUGUUUGUGUUUGUGAUUGUGGUUUUGAUUAUGGAUUUUGUUUUUUGAGAUUGGAGGUUAUAUAUAAAAGUGGGAGUGAGAGGUUUCGUGGUUAGCUUCUUGGGUUGGAGAGAGGAAGGAUCCUUUUCAAUUGUUUUGACUUGUUUAGUUCCAUUGUUGCUUUGGAGUGUGGCAAGUGGACUACUCUAGUCUCUAUAACUUAUUAUUUUAAGAUAAGGAACGAUUCGUGGCUCUGUCUUUUUCUUGUGAGGGUCCAUCAUCAAAGCUAGUGCCUACUUCCAGGCUUCUUCAUAUCCCAGACACAAAUUAAAAAGGGAUUUUUGUCAAUAGUGGCAUAAAAAAGAGUUUUAGUUUUUCGAAGUGCCAUUAUGAAAAACUCCUUUUGCAAAUAGGUCAUUGUUGUACGUUGUGGCACAUGUAAAAUACAUUCUUGUCCUUGUAGACAGCAAAAGAUAUGUGAGCCUUUAUACAAAGAGGGUUACGAUUUGCACAAGACUUCAUCUCUUUCUCUACUGCUCUCUUUUCCCUAGCCCACCAAAUUCUCUCUUGUUUCCACCACCAGCAGCUCUUGUCCUCCACUUUCAUUAUUCACGUCCAUUAGAUUUUCCUCUAAAUUUGUUUGUCUCUCAUUUUCUUCUUCUUAUGCUUUUUCGUCCACCAGUUUCUUAUACGGAUCCCAAUCCACAUGAUAUGUCCAUUGGUCAUAAUCAUAUGAUGGUUCCUCCUCUUUCUCUACUCCAACCUUAUAAUACUCAUAACUCCCAUUGUCGCCUCCCUAGUCCACCUUCUUCCCCUUGUCUACCAUAAUUGGUCCAUCUCCUUAAGUAUCUUCGUCUAAUUUCAUUAGUUUAGUCUACAGGAUAUGGCAAAAUGAUGUUUUUAGAGGACAAAUCUGGAUAAUCGAUGGACAACAAGAUUGAUAGAUCUAAGAACAAUUUCGGGACCAAAACAAACUGACAAACAAUUGCCAAUGAUCAAGAGUUACCUUUUGCUUGGAUCUGUAAAUCGUGGACGAAUAUUAUGUUUAGAGAAAGAGAUACAUAAAUUUGAAUUAAUUCCUUGGGUUACCAAUGCAACUCUGGCAGAAUUAAAUGCUCAGCCGAGCAGUCAAACCAUCGUUUCCAGCAGGCCAUAUGGAGGGCAUUUCCGUCUUUCUUUGUUGCAAAAAUGGCCUUCCCCAUAACAAGUUUUUUAAAUGGCGUUCCGAAAAAUGAAAGUCUAAAAGAUGGCAAAAUCGUUAAAAAUUUCAAUUAAAAAUGGUUUUAUUUUUUUUAAGAGAAAUAAAAGAAAAAUUGACACUUUUUUCGUACUUUUUGGGUAAAGGUAAGUUGACACAAAUAAAGUUGUAUUUUGGAAAAGGUUGAUGCACUAAUGUGUAUAUGUCCACAGUCCACUUGCCUAUGUUAGACACCAAAUUUAUGUCUCUAUGCAAGUCGUUUAUUUGGAAGGAUUAUCCCUCUGUUCUUAUAACCUCCUUCAUUUCUUCCUCGCUUGGAUCAUAAAAUGGCAUUUUGAACGAAUUUACCUUUGACACACUUACAAGACCCUAUGUAAAUACAUAAAUAACAGAAAGAUCAAAAUUUUCUAACCCUCUGUUGAUACCUCAGAGACUAGGUCGUGGAAAGAACCAGAUAACAAUAUAUUACAACAUUCCCUGUACAAAUGAAUAAAUGAUCAUCAAUAGGGUUUUAGUUUCUUUCCAUUAAUGUGAGAACCAUACGUCCACAAGACCAUAUCUUCAGAACGUAUUUUGAAAAAUGUCGUAAAAUCUCUUUGGAUUUAUUACAGUUAAACUUGAACUUGUAUUCACUAAGAAGACUUGAACUUGUUAUACAUGCAUUCAUCUUAUUAUUCUCCAGUUCGUCGAGAACCUUACAAGUCCACAAUACGAUCGUUAUACGUCUUUUUACUUUUAAGGAAGUUUAAAUGUCUUUAGGUGAAAAAUGAUGACGAAAUCUAUAUAAGACCUUAGAGAAAUCUAAAAAAAUAUAUCAAGGAAACAACUACGGGAGAAAACCUAUUAUUCAACCAAACUAAAAACAGUGGAAAGAUACUAUAACUACAAAGAUUCAACGACCUAUUAGUGUCCAAUGGAAGUUGGCAAAAUUCUUUGGGCAAUAUAUAUGUCUGUCAAUCCUCCUCAUUUGAUCUAGAUUUUGGGUGUGAGUUUGGCCCACACUAAUAUAGUACCAAAACCAAGGUCGAUUAUGGGCUAUCACAUGUGGAUGUCUAGUCUCAUAAAAUUGUCGCUUGAGAUGUACAAUCCUGAGUGUGAGGGCCGAGGAGGUGUAUUAAAGUCUCAUAUUGGAAGUUAGCAAAUUCCUUGGUCAAUAUAUAAGUAUGUGGCAAUCUUCCUUCUUUGAGCUAGCUUUUGGGUGUGAGUUAGGCUUACACUAAUACGACCUAAAAUAGAAGGAUAAGUAAAAACAAUCCUAAACCAAACAACAUCACUUAACAUGUACCUCUCCAAGAUAAAAAAGUGCAAACCCGUGACCCUAAACGAUCAAAUAGACCCCUAAAAAACUCGAAUACUCAACAAAGAAUCGGCCAUCUAGGGAGGCAUAACCAGCAAGAUAAUUAUGGCUGGAAACCGAGACUAGAUUCAUUCGCGGUCAAACCGCGCUAUCGAUCGAAGAAGAUCCGGCGAAUCCAAUCUUGCCUCCACCUAGUCUCAAACCAAUGAACCACCGUCUUCCAAAUGACCUAAAACAGCCUAAUCACACAAAAAAUAAUCCGUAGAACCGACAACCAAAUCACCACGAUCGCAUUACCAUUCGGGUUUGGCAGACGCCUCAAGUUUAAUCCUCGAUCUUAAUUCUUAAAUCUGAAACCUCACCUCUAUAAGUCGGAACCACCAUCUUCUAAAUUUAAUAACCCUAACAUACCUCUCACGUCACCGGUAAAAAAAAGGCCGGUGAUCAGAGAAACAAAGAUCCAAAUAAAGAGAUUAAAAAAUUGAAAAUAAAAAAAGGCCGCGUUUCACUUAAAAAACCCUAAGUGCUCCUUCUUCGCUUUCCUCUGUUUUUCCUCGGAUUUAAAACUCAAAAUUCGUAAUUCUCCAUAUCACUGAACGCUUCCAAUUCAUCAUCCUCGUACGCUCCCAAAUUGCCUUUCCUCUUCGCUUCCAGAUUCUCCUCUUCCGGUCGCCGCCGGAGACCUAGUAUCUCAUCUGCUACGUAUAAUGGUGUCGCCGAAAGAGUUAGUGGCCAUAGUACACUCUUCACUGCUCGGAACGUCACUGCCAACUCCAACGCAGCGUAUCGAACUCACUCAUGCCAUUCGCAACUCAUUUUCCUCUAUUCAGAACCUCCUCUCUUUCCCGGUACUUGCUCGAUUUCCUUUCUACUCGAUGAUACGUCCUUGUGUUUUCUGGGUAUAGUAACCAAAUCUUUUUUUUCUAAUCUCUGGCAGCCUCCGAAGCCGUCGGACAGAGCGCAAGUUCAGUCCAAAGAAAUUCGACUCCCGGAUUCGCUGCCAAUAUCUUUGGAUGACCAAGAUGUCGCUAUUGUAAGUGUUUCUUUCGACUUCUAGAUGACAUUCUUGGUCUUGUGGAGGUUUAGAUUUUAGAAUUUAGAUAUGAAAACAAUUGACACCGAUUAAAGCAAGUUUUGCUUCAAUUUUGCGGAUGGAUUGAAUAAAAUGGUUGUCUAAGUAGAUGUCUAACAAGGCAGAAUUUCGCUGUUUCCUUUACCAUGUUGAAUGAACUUUUAGAAUGUGCUUGGUUGCUGCUCAUUUCCGAUGUAUGAGCUUCUUUUCAUAGGGAUUGUGGUUUGUCCUGAUGAUUUGUUAAAUCUACCAUUUGACACACAUUACCACCUUUAAGCUUCUGUUUAAUUUGAAAUAUGUGCAAUGAUAUAUUUGGUUGAUAUCUUACUGCUUCAGAAAAAAGGUGCCUUUAACAACUCUAACGGCCUAUGUUCUUCAUAUAUUGUUAUUGAUUGUAGAGCUUGAAACUGAGUGAUGAGCUUCACCUAAAUGAGAUAGAUUCUGUUCGUCUGCUUGUAUCUGCAAAUCAGGAGGUGCGAUUCCCUUCGCUUUGCUUCUACUCUCAUCUCUUAGCUUCUAAAGCUCUGGAGUUAUUUUCUGCGAUAUGUUCUUAUAUUUUAUCCUCUGUUUAGUGGGGCUUAAUGGGACGGGACCCUCUUGAGAUUCAACGGCUUGCAACUGGACUAUGGUAUACAGGGAGAAGAGAUCUUACGUCAACUCUAUACACACUCCUGAGGGUAGCUUACUCUCUCAUUAUAUUUCUGGGUUUUUUUUUUGUUCUUCUAGUGUUCUUAACGUCAUCGCACAUUACCAUUUUUCUGGUUGAAUAGGCAGUUGUUCUGGACCAGGGGCUUGAACCUGAUCUUAUAGCUGACAUUCAGGGACUCUUAGAAGAACUUAUUAAAGCUGGGCUCAGACAACGGUUGAUUACUCUUGUAAAGGUAUUAACCACUUGGGUUCUUUUAAGUUACAUUUUCAUAGGUGUCAAAUAUACGUAACUUGAAUAACUUCCUACUUUUCUGCUUGAAUUUCUUCUGAAGCACUCAUCUUAUUGACAAUCAUUCUCAUUAAUGCAAAGACUAUUCUCUUGUUCGUUGUCAUAUCUGUCUAGCUACACCAUUUCAAUCUACUUUUCCAUUUGUUUCUCAUGAUCGUAGAGAAUAAACAAUCUUUCUCCAAUUAGUUAAUUGAAUCCUAUUUUUAAAUGUGUAACUGUUACUUAUUGGGCAACCAUAAGGUAUUGAGACCAUUACAAAUUUUGUCCACAUCAGGAAAAUUAUUGUUUGCUGUUUUCGUCCGCUCUAAUAUGUCAUUGUUGUCAAUGCUGCCUGAUACCUUUUAAAGUUGUCAACUACACGAGCUUCAUAGUUCAAGACACUUGGGGUAAUGCACUUCCUAUGUAAUAAUCAUCUUUGAGAUUUGUUUUUAGUUGUCAAUAUUAUCUUUAAAUUCAAAGACAGUUGCAGUACAUUUAUUUUACCAUUUGUUAUUAACUUCUCACUUUGCAUUAACAUCAACAUGAGUUCAAGCUAACUCUUAAAAUAUUCAGAUCUAACUUGCUUUGGAUUCAAGUGUUCACAUAAAUGAGUCAAUAUAUUUUAAAGAUUUACUUUCGAAACUUCAAAAAUCCAAUGAUUGUCCCCUAUGUCCAUUGUCUUCAUAGCUGAACAUUUGCAGCCAAAGCAUUCUUUAAUCUAGUAGGAAAUAUUAGAUGUAAAAGUCCUUUCAGACGAUCUUGUGACUUGAUAUUUUUUGUUCUUUGGCAUUAUUAUGUAAUUAUUGUCAUGAUAGCAAAUUCUUUGUUGCUAGGAACUCAAUCGGCAGGAUCCUACUGGAUUGGGUGGGCCCUUAUGCGAGCGAUACCUUAUUGACUCAAGAGGUGCUCUUGUUGAACGAAGAGCUGUUGUUCAGAGGGAAAGACUGAUACUGGGACAUUGCCUUGUUCUUUCAAUUUUGGUUGAUAGACCUGGUAAGCUCGUUCAUUUCUUAUAAAGCUUUUGUGCGAAGAUUAAGAAUGCUACUUGUUAAAGAAAUUCAGCUGUUGGAUUCAGUGCUUUUCGUUAAUGGUUUGACUUUUCCAUUAAAAGAUACAGCAUUAGUUCUAUUGUGUCCCAUAGUAAGUGAAACUAUUGAUAAUUGGGUUUCACGUUUGAUAGGACACUAUAUAUGCUAGACUAGUUAGAUCAUUGGUCAAUGUGCUAUGAGAUAUAUUGUGUUUUCAUAUAUAUUAUUGCUAUGUCUGUGUAAUUAUGCUGAAGUUGAGUAUCAUAUGUGAUUAUGGUGUUUGGUAUUCGUACUCCAUUGUUCUGAUCUUAUUUAUCAAAAAUUUGAAAAUUUUGAUUACUAUUUAAUAUUAAGUUUUUUUUUUUUAUUUAUAGUAUUAAAACACUCUUGUGAUUGUAUAUCUUUUGUUAUUUCUCGAAGGAUAUUUUCUAUUUCAAUUUCAUUCUUCUAACAAGUUUGUUUAUUGCAGGUUCGAAAGAUGUGAAGGAUAUAUACUACGUUUUUAAAGAUAAUGCAGCUCAAUUAACUGAAGGAAAUGACACCAUAAGUUCUCAGGUUCAUGCUAGUCCUGUUCAUGACGUAGAGGCUUUUGAAGUUUUCUUUCUUCCCUGCGUAUUAAAUUUAAAAUGUGUUAAUUUCUGAUAAAUGACUAUUUUCUUUGUUGCAGAUUACUUUUAGUCUUUUGUUUUCUCUCAUCAUCACCUUCGUAUCAGAUGCAAUCAGUGGACUAUCUGAUAAGUCAUCUAUGAUAUCUCAAGAUGCUUCGUUUAGGACAGACUUUCAGGAUAUUGUAAGACUAGUUGAUACAUUUUUCUUUCGCUUCUUCUCCCUGUCACCAAAGACCUUCCACUGCUGACACUUGAAAACACACCUAAUCACCUUUCAGGUUAUGGCUUCUGGCAGUGACCCCACUGCUGAUGGCUUCAUUGGUGGCAUAAGGCUUGCCUGGGCUGUACAUUUAAUGCUGAUACAUGAUGGAAUAUCUGGAAUGGAUACGAUUUCCACUGCUUCAACAAAAGAUAUGGGGCACAUAUGCUCCUGCCUGGAGUCCAUCUUCUCAAAAAAUGUGUUUCAAUUUUUGCUGGAUAAUGUUCUUCGAACUGCAGCCUACCAGGUACUUUCAUUAUGAACAUCAUCAUGAAUUCUAUGUGCUCAGUUAUUGUCCAUCAAAUGCGGGGUGCCUAUCUGGAUUCCCUGUGCACUUGAUUUCAUUUGACGAGCUAGUGGAAGAUUUACUUUGAUUUCCCAGCUAGUGGAUGACAUGUUUGGCUCCUUAAACUUUUAUAUUGAAUGAGCUAUUAUGCAUGGUUCAUGACUGUAUCAGAAAAAGAGCUAUUUUCUAAUGGUGCCUAUGGUGUUUAUAUUUUUCCUUCAUGACAGCUGUAGUGUAUAUUGUCUGUUUUAUGGUAAUGGUUAUAUGUGUUGGCCUGUAUGGAUACCGUUUUAAUCCUUCAUGAAUUCAAUUUUUACUUGAUUAGUCAUUCCCAAAUGUAAGAGUGUUCCUAUUUCUUUAUGCUGAUUUUUCUGCUUCUAAUCACAUUAUAUAUAUCUACUAAUGAUUUCAUUAUUUGAGAUAUGACUUUAUUAUAUUGGUGUUUGACGGGCUCCUCUUUGGAUGCUGUAUUCAUUCUUGUUUAGUCUCUAGGUUUUGCUUGUUAAGUCAGAUCUCAAUUUCAAGUCUCUUUCCAGUUUUAUUCUGUGAGCUUUGAUUUCCCUGACUCAACCCACGUUCCCCCUUGUGUUGGUCUAUCAAUGGUUGACCUUUUGUUAGUUGCUACAUGCAGAAUGAUGAAGAGGACAUGAUCUACAUAUAUAAUGCUUAUCUGCACAAGUUAGCCUCUUGUUUUUUAUCUCACCCGAUCGCAAGAGAUAAGGUUUGUUAAAUAUAUAGAUUAAUGUAUAUCUACUUAGUAUUUGUGUAUUGAUUAUAUGUUGGUGAUCAAAGUUUGAACGCUGCAACUUUAUCAUGUAAAGCUUGUAAUUUUUUCUCCUUACUUCAUGGUCUGAUAAUUAUGAUGAAAAUUGGUAGUAUCUGCUUUCCAUUUAGAGGGAGUAACCUUUUGAUGUAUCAGUCACAGAUUCUGAGUAUUUCAGCUGGAUCACUUAGGGGAUAUGAGUAGCAUAUAAACUUCAUUAAUGGCUGCACCUUAGAUCAUUGCUAUUUUUUCUGAUGGUUUGAUAGUGUCUGAUAAGUUGAAUGUAUGAGCCAAGAUGAGAAAUACAAUAUCGUAUCUACAUGUUUAUCUCCUGUGUCAAGCCUGACAUCAUUAUUUUGCAGGUGAAGGAAUCAAAGGACAUGGCUAUGAGUGUUCUAAAUUCUUACCGAACUUGUGAUUCGCUUGAUGGAAGUAUGCAGACUGAAGAGGCUGACAGGCCGCUGCCCUUCAUUUCUCUUAUGGAGUUUGUAAGCAAAAUUUAUCAGGUUGAGAACGACUACCAUAUGGAAGCAGUUAUUAUCUUUGUUUUUUUUUUGUUAAUUUUUCUCAAAUGUUGGAAAAUGAGUUUGCCUGGUAUCUUGAAGUUGAGCUCUGUUCAUAUGUUUUUUGGUAGCUUAUUUUGUUUUUCAUAGCACAGUGAGCAUUCAGAAUACAUCUCGAUCAUAUCUCAUUUUUCAUACCAUAUUCCUGUUUUUGUGUCUUUUGAUAUUUACAACCUUUUACAGAAGGAACCUGAGCUACUCUCCGGGAAUGAUGUCUUGUGGACAUUUGUGAAUUUUGCUGGAGAGGACCACACAAAUUUUAAAACUCUUGUGGCUUUCUUGGAAAUGCUGUGUACCUUGGUAUGAGAAAUCUUUAUAUUGGUAUUUUGGUGGGACAUCAUUUACUUGGUUACUCAUUGAGUUUCCUUGCUGUCAUCUUUAUUUGAUUUCAGGCUUCCACUCAGGAAGGUGCUUCUAAAGUUUAUGAGUUGCUCCGGGGUACAUCAUUCCGCAGUAUAGGAUGGCCCACUUUGUUUGAUUGUAUAAGAAUUUACGAUGAGAAGUUCAAGCAGUCUCUUCAAACUGCUGGAGCCAUGAUGCCAGAGUUCCUGGAGGGCGAUGCAAAAGCACUUGUCGCAUAUCUGAAUGUACUUCAGAAGGUUAUAUAACUCUAUUCCAAAUAUAUUCUGUUUCAACUUCCAUUCCACGUUUAAUAGUCUUAUAUGGUGCUUUUUAUCUAAGACAAGUUCAGCUUGUAUUCCUAGGACAAGUUCAGCUUGUAUUCCUAGGAACUGGGCUUAACUGCGAUUUGGUUCUAGUUGUUUACCUAAAUGCUUUCUCCGGGGUUAUGGAGAAGAGCCAUAUAAUUUUUCGCUAUGAGUUCCUAGGAGGGGAAUUUGUUUUUUAAAUGUCCUUGCAAAUGAUUCGUUCUCUGUGAAACUGAUGUUUGAACUUAAGAUAUUUUUUUUAUGGUCAAUAAGUUUAUUUUUCAUAUUCUGCAGGUUGUUGAGAAUGGUAAUCCCACUGAGAGGAAAAACUGGUUUCCUGAUAUCGAACCAUUUUUUAAGCUUCUUGGUUAUGAAAACAUCCCUCCAUAUCUGAAGGUCAGUGGUGUACUGGAGAUUCUUCCCCUUACACGUUGGACUCGCAAAUGAUAUGUGGAAAGCAUCUGGAAUCGGUAUCUAUAUAACUUGUGUUCAUUGUAACUUUAUUUUCUGCAGGGUGCUCUUAGAAAGACCAUUGCUGCCUUUGUUAAUGUCUUUCCAGAAAUGAGGGACUCUAUCUGGGCUUUUCUUGAGCAGUAUGAUCUGCCUGUUGUUGUGGGAUCACCAGUUGGAAAGAGUGACCAAUCUUCUCAGGUAAGUGCAUGGCUUCGAGGGAUAGUUAUUAGCAGAUUUUUUAACUCUACUUCUUUAGUUAAUAUUUCUCUUAUUAUUGAGAAUUUAUUAAAAUUUAUGCUUCUGCAUUUAUUUUCUAAACAUCUUAUACUUAUGCGUUAAAAGUGGGGUUGUCAUGUUGCAUAGACGAUUGAUAUCAUUUUUUGUUAUGUAAAUUUGAUGUUGGUAACACAAAAAAUAUUAAUAUUUGUCUAAUUCCUGCAUGUGAUGAAAGUUUUAGUUUCAUUUAUUUUACAUAAUACUCACAUAAUGCACUGUGCCAUGUUCAGUGCAGCUAAAACUUGGAAUAUCACGUGUUGUUUGAUGCUGCUUUUGCUUUUCCAGGUGGAGAGAAUCUUCAGCGUAUCGUCAAAACCUAAUCUCACAAUUCGCUUAUAUGCAGGUCUAUGAUAUGCAAUUUGAGUUAAAUGAAGUGGAAGCAAGGAGAGAACAGUAUCCUUCAACAAUAUCGUUCCUUAAUCUUAUAAACGCUCUGAUUGCUGGGGAGAAAGAUGUGAAUGAUCGUGGGCGUAGGUAGUAGUAGCCUUAGAUUGUUGUCUCUUUCCAUGAAGCUUAGUCUUCGUUUUUCUUGGUCUAAUGUUUAUAUGUAUAUUUUUGUAGAUUUAUUGGCAUCUUCAGGUUUGUGUAUGAUCAUGUAUUCACCCCUUUUCCUCAGAGGGCAUAUUCUGAUCCUUGUGAGAAGUGGCAAUUGGUUGUGGCAUGCCUUCAACAUUUUCACAUGUAAGCUCCUGCUUCUGUUUUCAAUAAUUUCCUUGCUCGGUCCAAAAUAAACUCUGAUUUUUAGCAGAAACAUAGUGUUCCUACCUUUUGUAAACUCCACCACUUUUCAUUUAGGGCACUAUUUGUGUUGAAGACUGGUUUAACAUUUUUCUGUAUUUCACUUCAGGAUCUUAAGCAUGUAUGAUAUUCAGGAGGAGGAUCUCGAUGGAUUUACUGAGCAUCCACAUUUUUUGGUGUCAGUUGAAACAUCUUCACUGCAAACGCAGCUACCAAUUAUAGAAUUACUAAAAGUACUAUCUUAAUUUGUUGCUUUAUUUUUCUUGUUCCACAUUGGACUCAUCUCCAAGUAGACAUGCAGUAUACAGUAUAUAAUUUGUUCCACGUUUUUCUUUUGUAGGAUUUCAUGAGUGGGAAAGCUCUCUACAGGAACCUCAUGGGUAUCCUUCAGGUUGGGGUCAAUGCCAUCAUCAGCGAGCGAUUGAGUAAAACUUAUGGGAAGAUCUUAGAAAAGGCAGUACAACUUUCUUUGGAAAUCUUACUGCUCGUCUUUGAGAAGGAUUUGCUUGUUUCCGAUGUUUGGCGUCCGCUGUACCAGGUACCUGGUUGUUCGUUUGAUGCAUUUGAGCUUUAUUUUGUAUAUCACCCAGUCAUUCAAACUCCUAAAUAUGUGGUGAAGAUUGUUAUAUGUGAGAAUGCAGUAAUAUAAGUAUUUUUUCGAAAGAGUAUUCAUAGGUUUACCUGGAUGCACUGUCAGAGCUUUCUAGGACAGUAGGAAGUUUGCACCAAUCGUUACCAAGUUUAGCUAUUUCAUCAAUCUAUACAUCCAAUGCCAUACUAGAAAGUGUAUUAUAGUAAUUGCACAAGAUUUUUGUCAAAUUUAAAUAUUCCUGUCUCAAAUUAGAUCCACAUUCUAUUUUUCUAAUCCACAAUGAAUGUAAGUUCUAGUGCACCAUUCGAAUUAGGUUACUAACUUAAAGUCAAAAGAUGAAGUGUAGGAAGCUUAGGGGAAUUGCUUUUAUUGUUGUCAAUCAUAAGCUACUUGACUAAUAGCAAUAUAUAUUAUUCCUCCUCCAACCUUUAGUUAAGUUAGUUUAUUUUGACCAUUAUUGGGUUGGUGGUGUAAAAUGUGAAACGGGACUCUAUUGUUAAUUUGGGAAUUGCUGGGAAACUUUUGGUAUUUUUGCGCCCCACCAGCUAUAGCUUGAACAACAAUUAUUUUCAUAAAGCACAAUCAGCAUGCCUUCCCUAAUUUUAUGUUAAGGCACAAGAUGGUCAAUAAUAUUAUCUUUUGUUAUUGCUGCAGCCUUUGGAUAUAAUUCUCUCACAAGAUCAUAAUCAAAUUAUAGCCUUGCUGGAGUAUGUCAGAUAUGAUUCUCUUCCUCAGAUUCAGCGAUCUUCAAUCAAAAUCAUGAACAUUUUAAGGUGGUAACAAAUUUCGUUUGAGACAUCUCUGUAGUUUGGUUUAACCACAUAACUUUUUUUCUUAGAUAGCAUUAGCAAAUACCAUUAUCAACUACUUUCAGAUCCUCAGACUUUUGGAUGUUUGAUUCCUUAGCUUUGUAUAAUUAGUUUAACCUUAUGUUUUGAUAUGAAUUACACGGGUUUUAUUAAUCAUAUGCUCGAUGACAGUUCUCGCUUGGUUGGACUUGUUCCAAUGCUGAUCAAAAUUGAUGCUGCGAAUUCCUUGAUCGAGGAUUAUGCGGCCUGCCUUGAGGUACGACUUGAAGAGGGUGAAGUUGUAGAGAACAGUUGUGAUGAUCUGGGGGUCCUUAUUAUGCAGGUUAGUUUCAGUAGUUGACUGUUACACUUAAUAGAAUAUCACACUAUGUGCACUAUGGCUUGGGUCUUAUCUACUUUCUUUCAUCAUGAUUGAUUCAUUCGUACAUAUCAUAUCAUCUCAAUGGUAUGACUUUCACAUUUGUAGCUUCUGGUUGACAAUAUCAACCGGCCUGCACCAAGUAUCACACAUUUGCUUCUGAAGUUUGACCUUGACGCCCCUGUGGAAGGGACAGUUUUGCAGCCUAAGUUUCACUACAGGUUUGAUUGUAAUUUGUAUACAGAAUAAUAUGUAUUUCAACCAUGAUCUCAUUUUGUUUUGCAAUCUGCAGUUGUCUGAAGGUCAUUCUUGAAAUGUUGGAGAAGCUUCCAAACCCCGAUAUAAACUUCUUACUCUUUGAGUUUGGCUUCCAGGUGGGAUAUACUAAUGCCGGAUGAUAACUAUCUGGUCUUUUCAAAGAAGUGAAAUUCUAUUUGGUCUAUUGUUUUUUGUACACUUAACUUUUACUUUUUGCAGCUUUUGUGUGAGUUGAAUUUGGAUCCGUUAACUAGUGGUCCAACCAUGGAUCUCUUGAGCAGCAAGAAAUAUCAGUUUUUUCUCCAGGUACACCAGAUUUUGCUUCUCCUUAUACCAAAAUAAUGCCAUCUUUUCCUUGAGGGCUGCCUCAUCCAAGUCACAAAUAACAACUUAUAUUUUACUCGUCCUUACUUUCUUAUUAUACUUUGAUGUUGCAGCACCUCGAUACCAUUGGUGUUGCCACUCUUCCAAAAAGAAGUGGCAGCCAGGCACUCCGUAUUAGUUCCCUUCAUCAGGUAUAUUAUAUAUUCUUUAAUUUCAGUGUCAAGUGUAUCCGACUCUGAUUAGUUUCAUGACAGAAUCUAAGCGGUUUUACUCUCUGCUAUCAACUAUUUUUGUUUAUAACAUUUUUUCCCGAAAUGUUAACUGCCUAUAUGCAAUACUGUUAGAUUUACAGUGAGUAAAAAAAAAACAUUUUUUUUUUUUUUUUUUUUCAUACAAAAAAAAAUAUAUAUAUAUUUUUUUUUGUGAUAGAAUGUCCCUAGGCUGUUUUUGUAUCUAAUACUCUCUGUUUCUGUUUUUUUCUAUUCCAUCAUGCGUAAAUUUUUUCACUCAGCAGAUACAGUAAUUUUUUCUUCCGUUCUUGUUUUCCUGCUACGCUCGACUCAUGUGCAAAAUGAUAUCUGCCUAAAUGCAAUAUUUCUUUUUGCUGGUUCUCAGUCAACGAAAAAGCGAUAAUCUGCAUUUAUGCACUACUUCUUUUUAUUGUGAUACCUUAGAAUUCAUGUAGGUAGUAAUUUUCUUGCUAUGUCUUCCAUAAGCAAAUUUAUGUGGAUAGUUACUUUUUUGCUAAGCUGUCAAGUCUUAUUUGGUUUCUGCUCCCUGUCAUUGUGGAGAGAAUACAAUAGUGGCACUUUUUUCUCUCUUGUUUCUUUAGUAAUAGUUUUUGUUAUCUAAACGUGUUCCUUAAACAGAUCAAAUGACAUGAUCAAUAAUCUAUUACAAUGCUACAUAGUCCUUUUUGCUGUUGAUAACAUUUCUCAUUUUCUCAAUAUCUACCUUUCCCAGAGGGCGUGGCUAUUAAAGCUCCUAGCUAUUGCACUGCAUACUGGUUCUGGAAGCAGUUCAGCUCACCUAGAGGCAUGUCAGAGCAUACUUUCUCAUCUUUUUGGGCGGGAGGUAACUGAAGCAGCGAAUGAACCUUUUUCUUCCAGUACAUAUCCUCAGGAUGGUCUUGAUUAUACUGGAACGAGUUCAAUCAGUAAAAGUAAGGUGAGUUUGGAAACACCUGCGUUUUAUGCUCUACUAUGCUUUAUGGCACAUCCUAGUUUUAUCCCUACUGCCGGUGUUCUGCAUGUGUAGCAUUGGUCUAAGAUUCUACCAUUUUAUAGUUGAGGCCAUCCAUGCAUGAUACAAAUAACUGUACUGACCCCACUCUUUCUGAAGUCACCAGCAUGUUGCCUUGCUGAUGUGCAGUUGUGCACCAUCUCUUAACAGUUUAACAUUCAUUGAAAAGCAGUAUUUAAAAUAUUAAGAUGUCUCCUUUUUUCCAUGCAACAGCAUUUUCCUUCACUGUAAAUCUAACAAUGUUGCGCUUGUCAUCAUUUCUUGCCUAGUUUUAAGUCGUUUUAUGGGUGCUGCUGUCUGACUUUUGUUUCUUCUUUGGAUUGAGUUCAGGCAUUGGCUUUGCUUGAAAUUCUUCAGUUUAGAUCUCCUGAUACUUCGAUGCAGCUUCCUCAAAUUGUGUCCAGCCUAAAGUAUGACUCACUGGUAAGGCUUGGGGAAUAUGGAGGUGUGUUUGCGUUAAGUAUAUUGCUCUAAAUAUGGAGUUUAAAAUUUCAGGUGGAGGACAUACUUGAGAACCGUGAUAACUCUGUUAGUGGCAGUAUCUACUACUAUUCUGAGCGUGGUGAUCGGCUAAUUGAUCUAUCUUCCUUCAGCAACAAACUCUGGCAGGUUAGUUCUUGUUAUAAUGGACAUCAGAUCUUCUCUCUAAUGAACAUUAAUGUUUCUCCUGUAAUGAAUAUUUAUGCUGAUUCUAUUGUUUGUUCAGAAGCUACAUUCUGGAUUUCCCCUAGUGGAUAGUUUUCCAAAUGUUGCUGAGCUUAGUGAAGUUAGAGAGACAAUUCAACAGCUGUUGAAAUGGGGCUGGAAGUAUAAUCGAAACCUUGAGGAGCAAGCUGCCCAACUUCAUAUGUUAGCUGGCUGGUCUCAGAUUGUUGAGGUUGAUUUUUUUCUUAAAAAAUCAGAUCACCUUUAGUAUCAUUAGCGUGUGCCACUCUUUUAAGAUAUCAAGUAUUUAUCUUUUGUGUUGUGCUUCGUAUGUUUUUGUUUUAGGUGUCUGCUUGCAGGAGAAUAUCUUCUCUUGAUAAUCGGUCUGAAAUUUUGUACCGGUGAGUACCUUUUGUAUCAGAGGUUAGUUGCUUGCGGAAGCUUUCUUGAACAUUGCAUGACUUGUUCUUCUCUGGUCGUUGGCAGGAUACUUGAUGCCUCUCUUAGUGCCUCCGCGUCUCCAGAUUGUUCAUUAAAAAUGGCGUUCGUACUUACUCAGGUGCAUUUUAGCUGUUGAGUAACUUUUAUUGUAAAAUGUGCUGUCUAUGUACUAACUUUAGGUUUUAAUAGGUUGCCCUUACCUGCAUUGCCAAACUUCGUGAUGAUAGAUUUUCAUUUCAAGGGGCCUUGAGUUCUGACACCGUGACAUGUCUAGAUGUUAUGAUGGUCAAACAUUUAUCCACUGGUGCUUGCCACUCAGUUCUAUUUAAACUUGUUAUGGCAAUUCUAAGGCAUGAGUCAUCAGAAUCUUUGAGAAGGCGGUACAGUACUAAGUUCCCUUAGUUGUCUUUUUACUUUCUUAUAAUACAACAUAAAGUCAUAUUCUGCCCAGCUUAUCUAAUUUCGGCUUUUCCCCGUUUCUAACACAUUUGCCUUUCUUCAUCAGCCAAUAUGCAUUGCUCUUGAGCUAUUUCCAGUACUGCCAGCAUAUGAUUGCUCUGGAUGUGCCAACAUCAGUUGUGCAGUUCUUGUUACUUAAUGAGCAAGACGGUGAAGAUUUGGAUAUCCAGAAGGCAUGUGUUUGCUGAUUAACCCGAGACUUAUUUUGUUCGGACGAUAAUUUAAUGUUUUUUUUUCUUGUCUUUCAGAUUGACAAGGAGCAGGCUGACCUUGCUCGUGCCAACUUUUUUAUAAUAAAGAAAGAAGCUCAGGGCAUCUUGGAUCUGGUAAUUGUUACUUCUUUAUUGAUAUGAGCCAUAUUCAUUUGCACUGUUUCACAUUGAGAGUACUGAUUCCAGGUAAUCAAGGAUGCAAGUCAAGGCAGUGAGUUUGGGAAAACAAUAUCACUUUAUGUGCUGGAAGCUCUUGUUUGUAUUGAUCACGAGAGAUAUUUUCUUAGUCAGCUCCAGAGCCGAGGUUUCAUACGGUCUUGCCUUGGAAGCAUUAGUAAUAUCUCCUACCAGGUAAUAUCCCUGUGAACUUCUGAGUGUGGUCAUUGCUAUGAAUAUUGUAGAAGUUUUUAGUAGCCCAUUGCUAUGAAAUCUCUUGUUGCAACUUGUUUAACUAGUGGUAAUUAAUUAAUUUGGGUUUGACUGAUAAACUGCAAAAAUAGAUUAAAUUGUAUUUGAGUCAAUAAUACCCUUUCAGUGCGUAGGAGUUCAUACAUGCAAAUUCAAGCUCACAGUUAUUUAUAUAUGCAAGAUCGUCAAAAUAGGAUCGCAAACCUGUUAAAUCUUCUUUAAGAGUGGCAUAAUGUGGCCAGUUAGCUGUUGGUUUGACUUUUUGAUCCACAUUAAAAGACUCGACACCCUAUGUAACUCGUGUGUGUUUUAUGUCCCAUUUACAUAGGAGGUAUCGGCGAUCUUAAUCUUCAUAUGCUGCUAGUUUACAUACUUUGGAGACCUGAUUUAUAUGUGGGUAUUUUUAUUUUCGAGGACUUGUCAUUCAUGCAUGUGCAUUUAUCAUAUUAUUGGGCCCAGGAUGGAACACAUUUGCUGGAGUCACAACAGCGAGCAUGUACCUUAGAAGCAGAAUUUGCAUUGCUACUUAGAAUUAGUCACAAGUACGGAAAGUCUGGAGGCCAGGUUCUGUUCUCCAUGGGUGCGCUGGAACAUAUCGCUUCAUGUAGAGCUAUCAGCUUUAAGGUAAUAUAUUUAUCUGUAGUUAUCAGGUUUUCGAUAUGUGACCUCAAUUUUGCCUCUGCUUUUAAUCCCAAAAGUGCCUUCCAGGGAAAUAUGAGACGGGUGGAUAUGAAACUUCAGAGUGAUGUAGGAUAUAAUGUGCAAAAGCAACGAACAAUAAUCACUGCUGUCCUAAGACUGAUGUUUGCUCUAACCUCAUUGGUUGAGACCUCUGAAUUUUUCGAGGUCAGCCGCGUUUCCCAGAUGACCUUUUCUUUUAUGAUCUUUUGCAUUGCUAAUUCAAUACUCCCUUCCAUAUGUAUUGGCCUGGUUUAGUGAGCAUGAUUUGCCAUUUAAACACUAUUUUCCAGAUCGUUUAGGGCCUUUCUAAGACUGCAAUUUCUAUAUUCUUACUUGUGAUUUAUUUGGGGACUUGUGUGGGAGUAAUACAGACCUUCUAAAAUUGAAUGACAGACACCGAGUUCAGUUUGUUUGAGAUAUGAAAUUAGUAUUGUUUGCAUCUUGUAGAAACUUGAAUGAUGCACUGAUUUUCUAUUGCUAUUGUUUACAUCUUUUAUGCCUCUAACAAGUAGAAGUAGGAAAUAGGUGAGUGUCUUCAAACGUUUCACCUUAUACAAGUACAAUCACUUGAUGACAUUUGCAGUAUAGUUUGCAAGACAUAACAAUCUAAUACUGAGAUGCAGAAAAUUUUAGGACAGUUAGUAUUGUUCUUGUUAGUUUUUUUAGGUAUGAUCUUGAUUUCUUUUUCACCUAUUCUUUUCCUAUUCAACUAAUUAUGCAAGUCAUUGUUGUUGAUUAUUCUGGGUAACUGGUUUUCUUGGUAUGCGAACUAUAAUGAUUUUCUUUCUUCUUUCUCUACCUGGGCGUUUGAUAGGGGAGGAAUAAAAUUGUUCGUGAAGUCAUUGAGUUUAUCAAAGGACAUCAAUUUCUUUUUGACCAACUUCUUCGGGAAGACUUUACUCAAGCAGAUGAUUUAUUGAUGGAGCAAAUUAUUCUUGCAGUGGGAAUAUUGAGCAAGGUAAUUCUUUGGCGAGCUAUAAGUUCUUAAUUUUUUUCUUCUUAAAGGGCAUUUGCUUCUCUUUUUGUGAUUGCAUCUUCAAGAGGGCUCAAAAAAUCCCACAAGCUAGUUAUAGAUGCGUUUUCUAGAAAGUGAGUUUGCUUGUUUUGUAGGUCUGGCCUUUUGAAGAGAACGAUGGAUAUGGAUUUGUUCAAGGGCUUUUUGAUAUGAUGAGCAACCUUUUCAUCGUCUCCCCCAUAAAAUUGAUAUCAUCGCAGGUAGGACAAGUAGUUCAGGUACAUGUUUGAGUAUCAGUAUAUAUUUUUUUGGCACCUUGUCAUCCAAUCCUUGAAUUCUUAUAUUCGAUGGGUUUCUCUUUUUUGUUUGUCAUCUGGUGGACAGAAGGGGUCAGAGCUCAAAUUGUCUCAGUUGCGAUUCAGCUUGACUUCUUACUUAUAUUUUCUGGUGACCAAAAACUCUCUGAGGUUGCAGGUACUUUUGUAGUUAUUUCCCUCGAUUUCUUCUGUCCACGUUUUCAUUAUUCAGUUGUUUGAAUGAACUACAAGUAAAUACUCAUGCCCCUUGUCCCCACACCCACCCCUCCUCCCAGGUUUCCGAUGAUUCUCUUGAUAGUUCCACUAAACUACGCCAACCAACGUUACUGUUGCUUGCAUCUCUUCUUUCGCAUGUGACUGAUUCCCUCGAGAGAGCAGCAGAGAAAAAGUCCUUACUUCUUCAUAAGGUAUAUUAUAUCCUAAUUCCUACUCUUUAUAUGUUUCAAACUCCUUUUAUAUAUAUAUAUAUAUAUAUAUAUAUAUAUAUAUUCGAAGUUGCAUGUAUGAUUGGCAGAUUAGAGACAUAAACGAGCUCUCAAGACAAGAUGUAGAUGCGAUCAUCAAGAUAUGUGAUUGCCAAGAAUAUGUCACACCGUCCGACAACAUACAUAAAAGGUUAGUGAAUUCCUUUCUUCGGCUUGCUCAUGCGUGCAUAUGCUAAAGCAGAAAUGGGUUAUUAACAUAGAAUUUUUCCAGCUUUUUCCUAUCAGUGAUUAGUAAGACGUUUGACAACUGUUUAUAUUUGUUUGUGGCUUGUUACUUACCUCAGGAGAUACAUAGCUAUGGUUGAAAUGUGCCAAAUCGUGGGUAACAGGGACCAGUUAAUCACCUUGUUACUACAACUUGCCGAGCAUGUACUAAAUAUUAUCCUGAUCCAUCUCCAAGAUAGGUAUGCCACUUUAUCUUCAACAAUUAAUAUCUUAAAUGUUGUUAAGUGAAUAUAUUUUGGAAAUCUACGAUGGUCAUACGGUUUGCUCUAGGGUAAUAUGCUAAACACUUGACAUCUGCAGAUCCGUUAGUUCAAAUGAAAGGGGAUCAUAUGGUUCAAAAUCCCAUCUACAACAGGAUGUUACAGAUCUAUGUGGCAAAUUGUCACCUACCAUAGAGAGGCUUGCAUUACUGAAUGAGGUAAAGUCUAAUCGAUUUACGAGAAUUUAAGAUUAUUUAUGUGUUGAAUGGGAACGGUGGUGGUGACCCAACUUGUCUAUCGCAGGGAAAAGUAGGACAUAACCUGAAGGUGUUCCAGAGACUGGCAACGACUGUAAAAGAAAUGGCCAUCCAAAAGUGUUUAUGAUAAUAAGCUUCUCAAGAAAUGUAUUUUUUGUGGUUGAACAAUUUUUGUGUGUGAAAUGUCCAAAUCUGAAAUUGUAGUGCGGGUCUGUAUAACUGAGGUACUUCAAUCACAAAAUAGUAAGGUGUUAUCCAAUAUCCAUAUGAAUUCAGAUAAUACUUUCUCUGAGGUGAUUGGGAAAAACUUUAAAAGCUCCAACUUUAUUUUAAAGUCUUGAAAGCCAAAAACUUUUACCAUUCAGAGUUUUUUUUCUUGUUUUUUUUCACCACAUUCUAACUGCCCACGUCUUCUCUUUUUACUCUUUGUACGUCUAUUCUUUUAAAAGUCAUGUAAGUGUUACUUGAUAUGUUUUAAUCUCAUUAUAAACAAAUCGUCUUUGCUCAAAUUAAAUGAAUUAUACAGCAUUCAAACAUAAAGUCUAAGGGUAUAAAGCAGAAGAAUGAAUGAAUAAAAGCAAAGCAUUUUUUACAACUAGCUAAUCUAAUAAGAUUUGAACAAUUAGCAAGUUCUAUUUGUUAUCAUCUUCUUGGUGUUUUGCCUGUAGAUGAUAUUAAAGUUUCUGAUGUCACCUAAUGUUGGAAUUUUCCCAAUUUGCUCCUUACGUAACCACGAGUUGUGAGUGUCCAAGAGAUGGAUAAGGAGAUAACGGAGGCACAGAAAAUAUUCUCAUCUCUUUACUGUCUUGUCCGUCCCAAAACCCCAUCCAACUUGACGGUGUUAACGGGCAAACCUCAGCCUGAGCCUGAAUUUCUGCCUCUUCCCUCUUCACAGCUUUAUGGCUACACAGGUUACUUCCAUGAAUUUCAUCCUCCGUUACUUGUCUCUUCCUCUUUGCUUUUAAAGACACAGUAGUCUUGUUGUUAUUGUUGUCGUCUCCUAAGUCCUCGUGCUUUCCUGCUUCGAGUGGAAAGUUAAGAAUGGCUUUGCUUCCUCGUAGUUUAAAAGCAGCCUUGUCGUAACCUCUUGCAGCUUCCAUGGCUGUGUCAAAAGUGCCUAGCCAGACACGAACACCUUUCUUGUUUGGGUCUCUGAUCUCAGCCGCAUACUUACCCCACGGUCUUCUCCUGACGCCUCUGUAGUGCCUUUGAUCAUCAACCUCUUGAACCACUGGUGCAGUUGUAGGAACUGCUAUAGUGGCAAGAGGUGGCUUGCGUUGGCUUAGAGUUGAGGUGGUGCAGUGGUGGAUGGUGGAGACAAAGGUGUCUAAGGAAGGGAAAUCGGUAAGAAGGUGUUGGGUUAUGAGAUCUAAAGCUGAUUGGUCUUGUUCUUGUUGUUGUUGAUCUGAAGAAGCCAUAGAUGAAAG
rnacentral:lncRNA from 1 species